rnacentral:lncRNA from 1 species
CAUGUACAAGAUACUGCUCCAUUAUCGGUAGACACAGCUGUUCUGCAUCUUCAUCCCAGAUUGUUACUCAAAGCUGAGCACCACCUGGUUGAGAGCAUCCAUCUCAGGCCACUGUCUUCUCUAUGAUACAUAACACAGCACACCAUGGAUUCUGACUUCAAUAACAAUCUCGAGGGCAAGCUGAUUCAAGGGCUUAUGACAGAAAGUGGAAAAGAUGCAUUGUGCUGUGAGUGCAGAGUUGGCCAAAGUGUUCAGGUGAGGGCAAAGUACUGUUUAUCAAGUUUGUGUUUGUGAAAUGAUUU